AUGUUAUUGUUGAUCUUCACAUGGUGGGGAUUGAAAUGGAGAAGUAUUGACGAUGAUGGUGAACGCAGAAAUAUGGCUGAAGAUUGGGGAAAAAAUCUGAUUGAAGUCCAGAGAGAACUUCUUGAGAGAUUUUUCAUAUUGUUCUUGGUUGGGUGUAGAUUUGAGAAGCUUUGCAAAAGGAUGAUGAAGAUGAAGCAAACUUGGAGAUUAUAA